CGAAUGCUGACAUAAGUAACGAUAAAGCGGGUGAAAAGCCCGCUCGCCGGAAGACCAAGGGUUCCUGUCCAACGUUAAUCGGGGCAGGGUGAGUCGACCCCUAAGGCGAGGCCGAAAGGCGUAGUCGAUGGGAAACAGGUUAAUAUUCCUGUACUUGGUGUUACUGCGAAGGGGGGACGGAGAAGGCUAUGUUGGCCGGGCGACGGUUGUCCCGGUUUAAGCGUGUAGGCUGGUUUUCCAGGCAAAUCCGGAAAAUCAAGGCUGAGGCGUGAUGACGAGGCACUACGGUG
rnacentral:rRNA from 1 species